AUUGAACGCUGGCGGCAGGCCUAACACAUGCAAGUCGAGCGGAUGAAGGGAGCUUGCUCCUGGAUUCAGCGGCGGACGGGUGAGUAAUGCCUAGGAAUCUGCCUGGUAGUGGGGGAUAACGUCCGGAAACGGGCGCUAAUACCGCAUACGUCCUGAGGGAGAAAGUGGGGGAUCUUCGGACCUCACGCUAUCAGAUGAACCUAGGUCGGAUUAGCUAGUUGGUGGGGUAAAGGCCUACCAAGGCGACGAUCCGUAACUGGUCUGAGAGGAUGAUCAGUCACACUGGAACUGAGACACGGUCCAGACUCCUACGGGAGGCAGCAGUGGGGAAUAUUGGACAAUGGGCGGAAGCCUGAUCCAGCCAUGCCGCGUGUGUGAAGAAGGUCUUCGGAUUGUAAAGCACUUUAAGUUGGGAGGAAGGGCAGUAAGUUAAUACCUUGCUGUUUUGACGUUACCAACAGAAUAAGCACCGGCUAACUUCGUG
rnacentral:rRNA from 1 species